GUUUAGCCCUGAUUGAAAUGGCAUCCUUUUUUUGUUUUUCUCAAAAAAAGAUAUAAUGUAAAGCAGGAAAUAGC
rnacentral:sRNA from 1 species